UGGGGAAUAUUGCACAAUGGGCGCAAGCCUGAUGCAGCCAUGCCGCGUGUGUGAAGAAGGCCUUCGGGUUGUAAAGCACUUUCAGCGAGGAGGAAGGUGGUGGACUUAAUACGUUCAUCAAUUGACGUUACUCGCAGAAGAAGCACCGGCUAACUCCGUGCCAGCAGCCGCGGUAAUACGGAGGGUGCAAGCGUUAAUCGGAAUUACUGGGCGUAAAGCGCACGCAGGCGGUUUGUUAAGUCAGAUGUGAAAUCCCCGGGCUCAACCUGGGAACUGCAUUUGAAACUGGCAAGCUAGAGUCUCGUAGAGGGGGGUAGAAUUCCAGGUGUAGCGGUGAAAUGCGUAGAGAUCUGGAGGAAUACCGGUGGCGAAGGCGGCCCCCUGGACGAAGACUGACGCUCAGGUGCGAAAGCGUGGGGAGCAAACGGGAUUAGAUACCCUGGUAGUCCACGCUGUAAACGAUGUCGAUUUUGGAGGUUGUGCCCUUGAGGCGUGGCUUCCGGAGCUAACGCGUUAAAGUCGACCGCCU
rnacentral:rRNA from 1 species